rnacentral:rRNA from 1 species
CCCGGUAAACGGCGGCCGUAACUAUAACGGUCCUAAGGUAGCGAAAUUCCUUGUCGGGUAAGUUCCGACCUGCACGAAUGGCGUAAUGAUGGCCAGGCUGUCUCCACCCGAGACUCAGUGAAAUUGAACUCGCUGUGAAGAUGCAGUGUACCCGCGGCAAGACGGAAAGACCCCGUGAACCUUUACUAUAGCUUGACACUGAACAUUGAGCCUUGAUGUGUAGGAUAGGUGGGAGGCUUUGAAGUGUGGACGCCAGUCUGCAUGGAGCCGACCUUGAAAUACCACCCUUUAAUGUUUGAUGUUCUAACGUUGACCCGUAAUCCGGGUUGCGGACAGUGUCUGGUGGGUAGUUUGACUGGGGCGGUCUCCUCCUAAAGAGUAACGGAGGAGCACGAAGGUUGGCUAAUCCUGGUCGGACAUCAGGAGGUUAGUGCAAUGGCAUAAGCCAGCUUGACUGCGAGCGUGACGGCGCGAGCAGGUGCGAAAGCAGGUCAUAGUGAUCCGGUGGUUCUGAAUGGAAGGGCCAUCGCUCAACGGAUAAAAGGUACUCCGGGGAUAACAGGCUGAUACCGCCCAAGAGUUCAUAUCGACGGCGGUGUUUGGCACCUCGAUGUCGGCUCAUCACAUCCUGGGGCUGAAGUAGGUCCCAAGGGUAUGGCUGUUCGCCAUUUAAAGUGGUACGCGAGCUGGGUUUAGAACGUCGUGAGACAGUUCGGUCCCUAUCUGCCGUGGGCGCUGGAGAACUGAGGGGGGCUGCUCCUAGUACGAGAGGACCGGAGUGGACGCAUCACUGGUGUUCGGGUUGUCAUGCCAAUGGCACUGCCCGGUAGCUAAAUGCGGAAGAGAUAAGUGCUGAAAGCAUCUAAGCACGAAACUUGCCCCGAGAUGAGUUCUCCCUGACUCCUUGAGAGUCCUGAAGGAACGUUGAAGACGACGACGUUGAUAGGCCGGGUGUGUAAGCGCAGCGAUGCGUUGAGCUAACCGGUACUAAUGAACCGUGAGGCUUAACCUU